rnacentral:rRNA from 1 species
UACGAAGGGGGCUAGCGUUGCUCGGAAUCACUGGGCGUAAAGGGUGCGUAGGCGGGUUUUUAAGUCAGAGGUGAAAUCCUGGAGCUCAACUCCAGAACUGCCUUUGAUACUGAAAGUCUUGAGUAUGGGAGAGGUGAGUGGAACUGCGAGUGUAGAGGUGAAAUUCGUAGAUAUUCGCAAGAACACCAGUGGCGAAGGCGGCUAACUGGUCCGGUUCUGACGCUGAGGCGCGAAAGCGUGGGGAGCAAACAGG